rnacentral:rRNA from 1 species
AUGAACGCUAGCUACAGGCUUAACACAUGCAAGUCGAGGGGCAGCAUGGUCUUAGCUUGCUAAGGCCGAUGGCGACCGGCGCACGGGUGAGUAACACGUAUCCAACCUGCCGUCUACUCUUGGACAGCCUUCUGAAAGGAAGAUUAAUACAAGAUGGCAUCAUGAGUCCGCAUGUUCACAUGAUUAAAGGUAUUCCGGUAGACGAUGGGGAUGCGUUCCAUUAGAUAGUAGGCGGGGUAACGGCCCACCUAGUCUUCGAUGGAUAGGGGUUCUGAGAGGAAGGUCCCCCACAUUGGAACUGAGACACGGUCCAAACUCCUACGGGAGGCAGCAGUGAGGAAUAUUGGUCAAUGGGCGAGAGCCUGAACCAGUCAAGUAGCGUGAAGGAUGACUGCCCUAUGGGUUGUAAACUUCUUUUAUAAAGGAAUAAAGUCGGGUAUGGAUACCCGUUUGCAUGUACUUUAUGAAUAAGGAUCGGCUAACUCCGUGCCAGCAGCCGCGGUAAUACGGAGGAUCCGAGCGUUAUCCGGAUUUAUUGGGUUUAAAGGGAGCGUAGAUGGAUGUUUAAGUCAGUUGUGAAAGUUUGCGGCUCAACCGUAAAAUUGCAGUUGAUACUGGAUAUCUUGAGUGCAGUUGAGGCAGGCGGAAUUCGUGGUGUAGCGGUGAAAUGCUUAGAUAUCACGAAGAACUCCGAUUGCGAAGGCAGCCUGCUAAGCUGCAACUGACAUUGAGGCUCGAAAGUGUGGGUAUCAAACAGGAUUAGAUACCCUGGUAGUCCACACGGUAAACGAUGAAUACUCGCUGUUUGCGAUAUACUGCAAGCGGCCAAGCGAAAGCGUUAAGUAUUCCACCUGGGGAGUACGCCGGCAACGGUGAAACUCAAAGGAAUUGACGGGGGCCCGCACAAGCGGAGGAACAUGUGGUUUAAUUCGAUGAUACGCGAGGAACCCUUACCCGGGCUUAAAUUGCAGAUGAAUUACGGUGAAAGCCGUAAGCCGCAAGGCAUCUGUGAAGGUGCUGCAUGGUUGUCGUCAGCUCGUGUCGUGAGGUGUCGGCUUAAGUGCCAUAACGAGCGCAACCCUUGUUGUCAGUUACUAACAGGUUCCGCUGAGGACUCUGACAAGACUGCCAUCGUAAGAUGUGAGGAAGGUGGGGAUGACGUCAAAUCAGCACGGCCCUUACGGCCGGGGCUACACACGUGUUACAAUGGGGGGUACAGAGGGCCGCUACCACGCGAGUGGAUGCCAAUCCCCAAAACCUCUCUCAGUUCGGACUGGAGUCUGCAACCCGACUCCACGAAGCUGGAUUCGCUAGUAAUCGCGCAUCAGCCACGGCGCGGUGAAUACGUUCCCGGGCCUUGUACACACCGCCCGUCAAGCCAUGGGAGCCGGGGGUACCUGAAGUGCGUAACCGCGAGGAGCGCCCUAGGGUAAAACUGGUGACUGGGGC